rnacentral:rRNA from 1 species
AUAUUGGUCAAUGGGCGCAAGCCUGAUGGAGCAACGCCGCGUGCAGGAUGAAGGCCUUCGGGUUGUAAACUGCUUUUGUCUGUGACGAAUAUGACGGUAGCAGACGAAUAAGGAUCGGCUAACUACGUGCCAGCAGCCGCGGUCAUACGUAGGAUCCAAGCGUUAUCCGGAAUUAUUGGGCGUAAAGCGCACGUAGGCGGCCCGUUAAGUCUCUUGGUGAAAGGCCGGGGCUCAACCCCGAGCAUGCCGGGGAUACUGGGGGGCUGGAGACAGGUAGAGGCCAGCGGAAUUCCGGGUGUAGCGGUGGAAUGCGUAGAGAUCCGGAAGAACACCGGAGGCGAAGGCGGCUGGCUGGACCUGAUCUGACGCUGAGGUGCGAAAGCGUGGGGAGCGAA